rfam:Flavobacterium spartansii strain MST NODE_9_length_215300_cov_46.7798, whole genome shotgun sequence.
UAAGGUGGUUAUUGCGGCGGGGCUCACCUCUUCCCAUCCCGAACAGAGAAGUUAAGCCCGCCUGCGCAGAUGGUACUGCAGUUAUGUGGGAGAGUAUGUCGUCGCCUUUC